GGUUUGCUGUGGGAAGCGAGUCUCUCCCAGUGUGUGAGAGAAGUACCAGCAUGCUGCCGCAGUGAAAGUGCAUGUUUUGCUCCUAAUGUGAUUCACUGACUGCAGGUACCGCUGGUAGAGAGAGAGAGAGUCUCCGCCAGCAGCUAAGUUUACAAGAAUGUGCCAAAUUUUAAGGGUGGGGUACCCACCCGCUGUACUCAACUCACUUCUUCCAUCCCGCCCCCGAAACAUGCCAACCUCACAUCUCUCAUGAGUGGACCCACAAAUAUGUACAGCAAUUUGGUUAGCAGUGGAGAAAUCGGCGAUAUCAAUCACCAACGUAAAGCUGACUAGAGGUCAAACGGAGCUCAGCAGAGACAAAAGCAGCUAUUACCAUAAUUCACGGUCUGCCGCGUACCUGGAGAGCAGAGCUGCUGUGAACAGUCUGGGACACAUCGGACAGAGGAACAAAACACGAGAGGGGACAGGAAGGAUAAUCAGUGGUGGAGGAAGUACACAGAUCCUUUUCUCAAGUAAAACUACCAAUAUAACAAUGUAAAAAUACUUUGUUACAAGUAAAGUUCCUGCAUUGUGUGCAUGCAAUUCCAACUUAGUAAAAGUAAAAGUCCAGAAGUAUUAUCAACAUAAUGUAUCAAGUAUCAAAAGUAAAAAUGUCUCCUGUGAUUAAUAUAAUAGAUUUGUAUAUUACAUUAUGAUGCAUCAAUGUGUAAGUAGCAUUUUGCUGUUGCAUCUGCUGGAGGUGGAGCUAGUAUUAACUACUUCAUAUACAGUUUGGUAGUUCAGUCCAACCCAACCUAGGGGUCGGGCCUCCCCAAAGGGUCGCAAGAUACAUUUGUAGUAUCCUGAAAUGCUCAGUGGGGUAGAAUAAAUAUAUAUGUCCUGCUGCACAAAUUUGCACUCAUUUUGUGGAUCUUUGGGUGAAAUAUUUGAUAAUUUUACCUCUUUGGGCCAAACAGUUACUUAAAUAAAACCAUCUGAGUUAUUUAGAAGGGAAAUGUAUUUGGCGGAACUACUAACAACUCACAAGCCAAGUUUUCAUCCAAAUUUAGCACAAAUGUGAACCAAAUUUCCUGAAAAUCUACAAAAAUUAAAAUGAAUUCACAUUUCAAUCCUUUUCUGUUAUGUGAAUAUUAGUACAGAGUUGGGUGCAUCGAAAUGAACUGAAGAAGGAUGUAAAACAGAAGCAAUGCAUUAAAACAUUUUUUUUAAUUAUGUGAUAUACUGACAUCCGGGAUGUUAUGAACUGAUUAUUUACAGUGCAAACAACCCAAGUCUGAAUAUGGAAAACAAUGAGCACAAAAAAUGGGCUGGGCUGUGGAACAUUUGUUCAUCUUGGCAGGUUCUCCAUUGACCUCAGGCGUAGAUCUGUUGUGCUUGAAUGUAGCAUGGUUAUGAAAGCACUUCUCACCAGAGCUCUGUACUACAGCAGCAAAAAAGGCUCCGAUGAAUCUGAGUUUUAUAUUCAAUAGUACCUUAAUAAACUGUUAUAACAA